UAACGCUGGCUUUCCUUGUUACCCCCGGUCUGCACAUUGUUUCUCUUUCAGAAACACAGAGGACUGUUUUUAUGAUGGGAUCACAGACACGCUGCAAACGAUGUCCGCCAAAAGUCGAAUCCAGUGUUUAUGGAGUGUCAUUUGUAUUUGUUAUAGUUUGGGAAGAUUGAAAAUCGGUAGGGAAAGCCAGCUAAGUCGG